AUCGAACGCUGGCGGUAUGCCUUACACAUGCAAGUCGAACGGUAGAGGGGCAACCCUUGAGAGUGGCGAACGGGUGAGUAAUACAUCGGAACGUGCCCAGUCGUGGGGGAUAACGUAGCGAGAGCUACGCUAAUACCGCAUACGACCCGAGGGUGAAAGCGGGGGACUCGCAAGGGCCUCGCGCGAUUGGAGCGGCCGAUGGCAGAUUAGGUAGUUGGUGGGGUAAAGGCCUACCAAGCCUGCGAUCUGUAGCUGGUCUGAGAGGACGACCAGCCACACUGGGACUGAGACACGGCCCAGACUCCUACGGGAGGCAGCAGUGGGGAAUUUUGGACAAUGGGCGAAAGCCUGAUCCAGCCAUACCGCGUGCGGGAAGAAGGCCUUCGGGUUGUAAACCGCUUUUGUCAGGGAAGAAAUCUUCUGGGUUAAUACCUCGGGAGGAUGACGGUACCUGAAGAAUAAGCACCGGCUAACUACGUGCCAGCAGCCGCCGUAA
rnacentral:rRNA from 1 species